CCCGGCGGGCGUUCCGGGGAGGAUGAAUAAGCGCUGGCCGCGGCGGCUCUGGCUGCGGUCGCUCCUCGGCGCGGAUCGCCCGCCGCCAGUGCGCCCAGGAAGGGCAGGGCUGCGGCAUGCGGUGCGGGAGCGGGCAGGUGCUGCCCGCCAGCCUCUGCCAUCCCGAAACCCGUUUGGUUCCGGCUAUGAAAGGACUCUGGCAGGAGGCACCAGGCCUUGGGCACCGGGGGCUGCUGCCGCAGCUGCCCGCUCCCAGCCCGUGCCGCUCCGGUGUGCCGCUGCCCACCCGUGAAGCUGAGCCUCGCCCGGCCGCCUGUGCCCUGUAAGGGCACCUACGGUGGCUCCUGCUCUGUCAUCCCAACCACGCUGCGGGCAAGAUGGGAUCGCAGGUAGACAAAGGACAUUCGUGUUCUUAACUCAAACAGAUGGACACACAAGAGAGAGUAAAUAAUUUGAAGCAAACAUCGCAAGAUCAUAGUGACUGAGAUGGGGAGACACCUCUGGAGGCUGCCUGCUCCAACCAUCUUCCUCGAGCAGGGAAAGACGCUUUUUGCUGAGCCGUGGCAGGCGUGGCUUCAAAGCCAUGCUCACUACUUCCACCCUCAUGCUUUGCUCCCUAACGCACAGCUAAGCGUGACAUGAUAGAGUCACAUCCCCCUACCCAUGGGGAUGUGUUUUUUCGAGGUGUGGUGAUGGGGGUCUGGUGGAAAUUUUAUCCCAAGAAUUAAUUUGAUAGGGGAUACACAGGGUUCAAAUAUGCAGGGACAGGAUACUACUGGAUAAGGUCUCUCCCAAUUAACCAGUGCAGUAACACUACCUAAAAAACCUGAAAUCCUUAGUGGCUCAAGUGUAAGACAAAGGAGGAUGCUGCUGUGUGGCCGUCAUCAGAUUCCCUGUACAUUUAUACCUGUGUCAGUGGUAGAUGUUUGUAAAAAGUGAAGAUGUCAUGUUUUUGGGCACACCUUGGUAGGACUGGGCAGGUCAGGGGUGUCUGCAGUCCAGCACAGUCCAGUGAAAGGGUGAAAGAUGGAGAACAUGGUAAAGCCAAUAGGCUGCCAGGCCAGGUAUGAAAUAAGGGAUUGAUGAACUCUAAUGGAUAGAUUAGUGAUAGGGGAGUCUUACCUAGUGUCAGUGGUUGCCAAUACAAGCAAACUCCAAGGGAACAAUUUCACAACCUCCAGUUGCAAUCAAACAUUGGCAUUCUCAUGCUGCCCUUGACAGCACCUCUGUUCCCCUUUCCUUAGGCAACCUUUGACACCUGUCUGACCCAAGACCAAACUAAUUCAGAGAAUGAGCCCUGUAGAAAGCUGAAGAAUCACAAACCCAUUCCCUGUGGGGUCAGACCAGUGCACACAGAGACAGGGAUCAGGGCCAGCCUGAUCAAGAACUGAUGCUGUUCCCACAGAAGCCAAUGGCACGCCUGAAAGCCAGCAGAAGUUGAGUUUGGGUACAUAAAAAGAUGGAAAACCAUUUCUGAAUUUCUCCUUCCCUGAGGCUCCACAGAGUUUGGGGGCUGUAUCGUGUCAUCAUCAGCCUCAAAAACAUCAGAGCAGUCUCUGUAAAGCCAGGAAGAAUAGCCAUCAGAUUUAAUGUGUUGCCCCUUCUCCCUCCCUACUGCUGAAAAGCACAGCAGUGAGCUUUAUCUCAGAUAUCGGCUUUAAUAUUUCAUUGGCAAAGCUCUCCAAGAUGUAAUUUACUUUAUUCUCAUGCCACACAAAAUAUGAAUGGGGUCCAAACAGUAUGAAUCACAGCUUACCAUAAUAACUGCUAAACACAUUGUAUCCCCAAAGUGAAAGUUGUCAAAGACUCUGGCAAGAAGGAUAAAAAGUAAAAAUAUCCAUAAUAACUGCAGGGAUCUGUGUUGUGCUGGUCCAGGAUAACUGGGAGACAUUGUGGUCAAUUUUCUGGAAGCCUGGGUUUGUCAGUUUACUUCCCCAUAACUCAGUUCCUUUAUCUGAAAAACUUGAAUAACAAUAUUUCUGACGUUUUUUCAAAGAGCCCUGGAAAAGUACUGUGCAUGGGGAGUUAAUAUGAAAUUAUUAUAUUAGGCAAUACAGAUGCAAGUAAUACAAGUAUAUCUAACUUAGUAUCUGACAUUUUUCUAAAUAGGAAGUGUUAAACAUCCUCAUUCUUCUGUAUGGGAAGGGUGAUCCUCUGUUUUAGUUUCAAGUUUUGUGACUCUCUUCAGGAUGCUUACUUCAGCCUGUACUGUUUUCCCAUAUUAAACUUUUAUUGCAUGCAUGCAGUGUUCUUCAGUGAAAGAACAAAAAUUAGAGUGGAAGAAUAUAACAUACCAAAAUUGAAAAGCAGUGAGAGGAAAUCCACUUCUUUCGUAAACCUUGUGUAUAGUAUAUCCUUUGCCUCUCCACAGAUCUACAAGGGGGAAUCCUGAUACUGUUGCCAGACCUGCCUCUCUUACCCAGUUAUUCCAAAAAGUGAUUGUUUUAGUUCUUCAGACAAUUGUUUAAUAAAAUACCGCAGAAUGCAUUUAUGGGGGCAGGUCUUCUGUAAGCCUAAAUCCUCAUAACGUGUUUAUUCAUUGUCACUUCUCAAGAUUCAUUGUUACUUCUCUUAUUCCUUGGGCUUAGUAUCUGCAUGGUUCUUACUAUUUUGAAAGUUCAUUCUAAAAAGCAAGCUAUCCUGAGAUGACUGGACUGAAUAAAUGAUCUCAGAAACCAGCAAAAAGCUCUGUCUGAAUCUCAUAGUCUUCAGUCAGUAUCCCUGAAAAGAGAUCACUUUAGCAUUGCCUGUAAUCCCACAAAUCCAGGGAUUUUCCUACUUCUUUGUGAUAUGAGGAUCAUAAGUAGAGUAAUCCCCACUUCUUGACUUCACACACAAAUUAUCUGGCAAUGUCAAGUCUUCAACAGCAGUGACCGUUUUCUAGGCAAUUGCCUGAAAACUACAACCAACCAAACUGAUAAUGAAACUGAACCUUCUUAAAAAUUCGAUAAAACUUCUGCUUUGACUGUAUGUUGAGCUUACUAUGUUAAGUAAGUAAAUACUCUCUGCUUCUUAUCUUCUGAUCUCACUUUCUCUAAACCCUAAGGUCUCAUGCAGCCAUAGGCAGAAGGCAUGUCAGCUAUCUGUGAUCUGUCAGGAACUGAUAAGACCUGGGCUGGGUUCCUGGGAAGCAGCGUCACAACUUAGUUCUCAGAGGUGGCAAGAAGGGAGAUAAAAAGGAUGGUUGGUCAGAAAUAGCCAGUGAGAUGGUUUUCCUCUGAAACAAGAAUUUUAUAGAAAAGAACUGUUUCAUCAGAAAUAAAUAGCAAAACUUUAACAUUCAUAAAUAGCACUGGGUUUGUUUUCUAACUGUGCUGAGAGGGAGAUCAAUGGUAGGGAAAGAUCUUGGAGGACUCAAGCCCUUCCUUUUAUUAUCUCUACUUGGUAAUAAACAUUGCCGAAGCAUUUCAAAAGCUGUUUUCUCUGGAUAGAAGAGAUAACACCUUGAUUUGCUGCCAUGUAGCCUCAGACCAAAGUUCAUUAAUCGUUUGAUAAAUUCACUGUCUUAAGGCGAAAUUUGGCUUUUGCUGUAUCUCUGUGAAUCUGCAAUAGCUUCAUCAAAAUCAAUGAUUUUUGCAGCAAGCUUUAAGUCCUGAAAAUGAGGGGAAUUACCACUGUGGUUUACUUCAGUGAAAAUCAGCCUUCAGGAAGCUGCUCUCAACAGGCAGAGUAGCUGGAAGAGUGUACUAGUACUCCUCUUGCUUCCCCUUUCCAUUAAUGGGUAAUAUCAGCAGCUUAUAGAGUGUGUCAGGAUAUGAGGGCUGAGCCAGCAGAUGAGGCCAAGGUGGCACAAAGAAGGACUUUGCAGAAGGCAGGGCUUAAAAAAAAAAAAAGGGGGAACCAACAAUUCAGACAGAAGGAACAAUGCCAGAGAAUGGCUGCGAGAAGCAUGUAGGAUAAUUUAGAUGUAGGUUAGCUGCCAUGGCAACCAUGUACCAAAUUACUCCACUUCUGUGUCUCUAAACCUACCAGCAGCUAAUUUUGUUUGUAUGUACUUCAGGCUUUAAAGCAAAUUAAACCACCUUAAAAUUCAUGAGGGGUUGCAAAUGAUGUGCAGAUACUGGAACUGCUGUGGGAUGCUUGGUUUAAACAUUUAGAAAAUAGAGAUAGAGAAAAGAAUAGCCCUUGAAAAUUCUGAUUUCAGUAAGUGGCUAAAAAAUACAUAAUUUAUUUAACAGUCAUAGCGGGCAGUUUUAACCUUGCAUUUGUACUGCUUUGCCUUGACAUGAUUGGUAUUUAUCAGGUCAACCUGAUACUUUUACCUCAAAUGAGUUUAUAAGAAAGAAAAUGGUUUUAGCAGCAGCUCUGUUUAUUUUUCACUGCAGGAAACUGCCAUGUUAUAGAAAGAAAAAGACAUUUUCUUUUACUCCAGGAUUCCUUGUAAAAUCUUAGAUCCCUAAGGAAUAGAAACAAGGCUAUCAAAGAGCAUGCUGCAAGGCACAUGCAUAUUAUUAGUUACUAAGAAUAGUCCAUUGCUGAGUGUGAGUGAAAAUAUCCAAAUGCAUUCCCUUGAUAAGUUAAGCAUGUAUUCCUCUCUCUGGGCACGCGUCAAAGUGUCCUCAAAUGGAAAAAUAAUGUUAUAAUAGCCUAACCUCUGCUUCCAGGCCAUGUACAUACAAUCCUAGAGAAACACAACAGAGCCUUCACAACACCUCAAUGGAGGAGGCCCACAGACCAUUAUAGCCAUUGGACUCCUCUUGCAGGGUCCAUGGAAACUCUUCAGAGGAGAAAGAGGUCAGGUUUUUUGAUCUUCCCACUGAAACUCAGUGAACAUCAUUGAGAUUUUCAGCCAUUAGUUGAGAGGCAUUAGGGCUUGACCCCCCAAAAUCAGCAGAAAUCUUUGAAUCAAGUGCAACAAAAAGCUGUGGUCAAUGCCAGGAGAUAAUUCCCUGUCCCUCCAUCAUCACAUGAUACUCACUGUACAGUGUGGUAUUCAGUAAUCAGGGCCUGCCUCCAGGCAAAAUGCUGGACAGAGAUCUUUAUUUUGAUGGAAUGUUCCCAAUAGCCUCUCCUUAAUAGGAUUUGUCUUAAGAUCUGCUUUUGAAAAAUUGAAAACAAUCUCAAUUCUGUUUUGUUUUCUUGGCCAAAAUUUGAGAUAAUAGCCCUUAAAUACCACAUAUGAAAAACUAAUACAAACAGUUAUAAGACCACAUUCUCCAAGAACAUUUAGUUACCCUGUGAGGCCCUUGCACUGUUGCUUUUUUGGCUCACUCUUGGUACAAGAGUGUUUUCAUGGAGCAUUAAGUAUUUGAUUUUUCUUGCAGGGUUUCCACUUGAUUUCACUAUUUUAGCUGGUUGCAGCUAUCUGUGUGAGAAGAGUUGCUCCAAAGUUGCUUCCAAGCUACAUGGUUACCUAAAAAUUCUGGCUUCAGUGCGUCUGUGAUUCAGCAUGUCCAGGACACUUCAUUGUGCUGUCUGGGAGUGGUUUGUAGCACAGCUGGGAACAAGAGAUGAGUGGGAAGCAGAGCACAGAGCAUGUUUACAGCUAAGAAACGUGCUUCUUGGAGUGUGUAGGUGUAAACCCUCUAGAUGUUCUUAGGUUAAGCAACAAACUCAGUGCCCCUUUCCUUCCUGCUUUCUGCAAGUUAAAGUUAAAAAUGUGUUUUCUCUCCAAGUAUAUGGCCACCUGAGACACCCUGUAUCAGUAUGAUUGCAGCUGCUCUCAGCAAUGGUUAAAUACCUUUGUGGAUGUGAAUCAUGUCAAGCUCAGGAAGCAGUAACAAUGCCAGGACUUCAAAUUCUGCUGUUGGAAAAAUCCCUGUUCUUCUAUCAUCAUCCCCUGCUGAGCGCUGUGUCUCCUGAGGAAAGUAUCCACUGCUGACAGACCGUCCCACUGAUGCGACCCAGUUAAGUACAGAUGGACACCUGAUGCUGAUAUGUAAACCUGUGCUCCACUGCACAUGGUGUAAAUUCAGGGUCAUUAAGCAAAAGAUAUUUUCAGAUAUUAUAAUAUCCAAUAUGCCUUGUCUGGCAUUACAGGCACAGUCAUCAGUAAAGCUGUGUCACCGAAGCAUUACUAGUCUGGAAUGGCUACUGUUUGCUUUCAGGUUGGCAGUUCAUUGGUCUUCUUUUCAAUCAGUGCCUCCUUCCAAGAGAAAAACUCCUGGAACUGCUGAUACUCUCUUCUCUGCUUACACUCUGCUCUCUAAGCCAAUGUCUGUCUCUUUUUGCAUCUACCAAACCCCUUGCAGUUGCAGGAGAUAUUGGUACAUCUGUCUCUGAACUCUUCAGGUCUUACUGUCAUGUUUAUUGUGGUAUUUUGGACUGUCAUCAACCCUGUGCUAAAGCACCAGAACACCCAGUAAUCUUCUAAACUGGUAAGGGUUAAUUCAGGGUCUCCUUGUGGUCUCUUCUGAGGUUUUUUUGUUUGUUCUGGGGCUUUGGUCCUUUGUCUGGAACUUGAGACGUUGGUUCUCAGGUUGUGUACCUCCAUGGUUUCACUUUCCUUUGUGACUCCAGGUUAGAUGUAGUCUCUCGAACUGUUCCUUCGACAUAAGGGUAUAAGAGCAGCUGUUCUAGGCCAUAGCAAAGAUCCAUCCAGCUCCAUCUUCUCUCAGCAGUGGCAAGUAGUGGAUACCUAUGACAAACAGGGUCUCAGCUGAGCAGCAGAGCUGAUGCUAGUCCGGGUGGCAAUAUCUUAUGGUUGAAGCGGUAUGGCAACAUCUCUAGUUGAAACACCAGUCUCAAGAAGUUCAAGGGAAAAAGUGUUCUCACAAAAGAUAACAGCUGUUCCACUCCCUGCCUGUUCUGUCCCGUCCUUGCUGAAGCCUCCUCCACUUACACGCACCUGACACCCGUGGGAGUGAUCUGACUGAAGUGUUUCCAUUUGACAUUUUGGUGGACAGCCUAUGGAGCAUCAGGAUGCUCUCUGAAACAAGCAGACCUCUUUUGAUUUAUUCAUUCCAACAGUGGGUAUAAUUUUAGAGCACAAAUGACAGGAAAUAAUUUUUUGCGCAGUUCAUCAGGAAAUAGAACAGGGCAAAGCACCAACUGUUGAGGAACAGGAGCUAUGACAUGCUGCCCAUGCUGCAUACUCAGUGCCUCUCUGACUGUAAAAGGAAUUCAAAAUAUAAUGUUCAUAAAAAGGGUUGAUUUUAUUGAGUCAAAUCAAACUAUUGUAUGACUGUGUGUUCAAAAACUGCCAAUGUAGUUUAGGUUCUCUUGGAAACCAAAAGGUGACAAUCAGCCAGCUCCAGUCCAUCAAGUGCAACACUGACUGAAAUCAGCAGAGCUGUAUCACUUGCCCCUAAGUCUGAAAGGUUUCCAACAAAUUGCUGACGUAGAAGAGAUCACUCAGCCAUUUCUAGUACUAGGGAAGGAGGGAGGGAGAGAUGGAAGGAAUUAUACCCUUAGAACAAGAUUGCUGUAUGUCUGUGUUUGGGAAGUCUACACUGCUACUGCCUUUGUGAGCCUUUCUGUGGUUACAGGCAGGAUUUCAGUCUCUGUGCACCUUCUGGUGCACUUGGCAGUCUGGCACCUUCAAUGCAUACUUGAUUAUCUACUGAAAGUCUUGAUGCUAAUUUUUAAAAUUAAGAAGCUAUUUUCCUCUGCCCAUGUGAAAUGAGAAAGUGUAAAUUUGUUUGCAUGUCAAUUUCUGUUGCAGUAAUGAAUCAUCACUCAAUACAACAGCUUUUGUAUUUUGUACACAGGUUUUCUGCCUAUGUGGAAGAAAGAGUACCUUGUUUCUGCAGUCUGAUAGCAUAAAUUCAGCCAGAUCUCUAAAGUUUGUGAUGGCUUCUUUCCUUCUUGAAACUUUUCUUCAGAGUAUUAUAUUAUGUCCCUUAAUAGAUUCUAUGCAAACCCACCACUUUCAGAGCGGCCGAAAUAAAAUGUGACACAAAGGGAGUGCUCCUGUGUACAUUGAGUCAAGGCAUUAAAGUCCUUGCUUCCAAAGCCUGAACUUUUUCAUGCAGAACUGAAUCAAGUAUCACCUCCUUUAGUUAGUCACCUAGCUGCACAGAGGUAAAAUCAGGGGAAAAUCCCUUCUUCAGCACAAGUGAUGAUGACAGCUGCUCCUACAGAAGGUGGAAUUCUUCCAUGGUGACUUCAGAAGAGUGUCAUAUUUAAAGUGGCCUUUGGCUCUUCUUGGCUUUAAACACAGAUCUCUUUUUAGUGAGCCUUCAGUGAUCCUCUUGUGAUGUUCGUUUGGUGGCUGACCAGCGAGAAGGUUGCUAUUUCAGCAAAAAUGCAGGAGAAAUGGUGACAGCUGCAUGGGGCAGCAGCAAAAUCAGAAGCACUACACUUCUUGAAAAUGAAAGACAGGCUUUGAAGCUACUUCAAGAUUAAGAAACAGAAGAAAACUAUCCAGUUCCUGAGACCAGGAUGCAGCCUUAGCUGCAUCCAAACAUCAGCUUGACUGGAGUCUCACCUCACAAUCACACUCACUGGCACAUUGGCAAUGAAGCCUAGAUGCACAGCCUUGUGAGGAGCUAAUGUACACUCCAGCAGAAUAUUUUAAACAUUGGGAAAAGUAUCUGACUAUGAACAUAUCAGACAAAUGGGGACAAAAACCUGGUUUAGAAAUGUGGACAGGUCAACCAUUGAAAGCAAGAACAUCUGCAAAAUCACGUAAGAAUUAACUAUCUGUCUACCAAUUAAAAUAAAAUUUAACUUUUCUUAUUCCUAGUGCUCAUAGGAGCCUUUUCUAAAAGUCUCAACUCUUUUGGUGCCAUACUUCAAGGACUUGUACAAAAUUGCUUUUGACCUGCCAUUUCUGAAACUUCAUUCACCGACAACUUCUGGCACUUUGUCCUAAUGCUGAAAUCAUCCUUUUAAAAUUAAUGAUUGUACCAUUAUCCAACAUCCUACACAGUCUUCUAGAGUUUCAUGCCUGGUCAUAGGGAGGGUGGUUAAGCACUCAAACAGGUGCCCAGAGAGAUUGUGUGCAGCCAAAAUCUAACUGGGCAAGGCCUGAGCAACCUGAUCUAUCUGUGACAUGCUCCCUGGUUUGAGCAGGAGCUUGGACUACGUGACCUCCAGAGAUUCCUUCCAACUUCAAGUAAGUCUUGGACUCAAUGAUUCUGCUUCUUUUUCCCAUGUACCACCCACUGCUAUGGGAGAUCUCACACAAAAAUGCAGCUAUUGUAGUUCUCCCCUGCUAGCCUUGGCCUUUCACAAUUGUUUUUCCCUAAUAAAUACCCUGCUUCAGUGUUUUCACAUGGUGUCUAGCCAUCAGUUUAAAGAAAACACAGACAGAACUUCAAGCCUUUCUUCCAAAAUCCUUCAAGUUUAGUCUCAAUGUUAGGUACCAUCUUUUUCUUAUCCAGCUUUUUGAAGCUACAAAUUCGACCGUAUCUAAACAUUGUCGUUCCUUUUUACAUCAAAUCUCUUACACUCAUCCCUCCCUUUCAGUAAUGAAGGGCCCAAGAUAGGGUUCCAGAGAUGUGAGCUUUAUAUUAGUAUUACAUCUACUUCUGUACAUCAUUUUGUGGGAGUUAUUUGGUUGGUUUUUUUCUGCACUUUUUGAUGACUCACUUGAGAUAUUCUACAGUUUCACAGAUUUUUUUUUCUGCUUUCCAUUUGUUUUUUCUUUUAUUAAAAGACUUAAUCUUUUAAUUGUCUUAAUCAGACAAUUUUGAAAAAGGUAAUUUCUGAAAACUGAAAUUAAGAUGAACACCAUGGUCUUAGCUCUCCUUCUAGUUCUCAUGUCGUAUCUUUACUAUUGGAUGACAGGAAGGGUGGUUGCAAAGAUAGUGAAUUUAAGAUUCAUAACACUUGGUGUUGUUUCCUGCAUUUCAGUAAGUCCACAGUGCAGAGCUUCAUAUGAAUUAGCAGUGCUUCAGUUGAAAUACAUGAAGACUUUGAGACAUCUAAUUCACAUUUUGAAAGCAGAGUUCUUUAUUUUAACCUACCUUUGGUAUCUGUUUACCUAUUGAAGACUAAAGGGUAAACAUAACCUAAAGCUAAAGCUGCACCUCAGAAAAAUGGGGAUAACACUGUUUCCACCCUCUUAACCUUCUUCUGGGUAUGACAAUUUUAACCUCUUUCCAGCAAGGAAUAUAUUUUAAAAUAUGUUUCCAAGGAAUAACUGGAUAUUCACUCUUUUGAAUAAGUGAAGAGAUUAAAAAAAAAGCCCCCAAAAUCACUCCAAACAACAAAACACCACCAUCAGGUUGUACUGCUUCAGCUUUUAAAGGGCAGCCCUUUAAGAAAUGCAUCUUUUCCUAUGCUGCAGCCUUUAAGAAGAGAUUCCACUUUCUAAGAAAAUCAGUGAGAGUAACUUCUGUAAUUUCAUCUUGGUCCUGUAAGUUAGGCUAGGAAAUGCAGCUGAAACUAAAAUCUUCCAUGUAGUUUCUGUUUUCUGAGAGUAUUUUUGAAUAUCAGGUGACAUAUGUGGGUGGGGGAACUUCAAGAUUAGCUUUAAUCAAAUCUCAGCUUUUGCAGGAACUUCCCAAAGCCUUUCUCACCCUUUUCUCCUGACUGAAACAUUUUGCUAGUUUUGGGUGCAUUCCAAUUAGAACCUAAAAUAUUUUAUUACGGUUUGCUGUCUUGCGAUGUUCCAAGUACUCCCAAGUUUCAUUUCACCAUUCAGAUCUAUCCCUUUAGCCUUCUAUUGUGAAGCUAGCCCUAAAAUAUUACCUCUGUGUCUGAGAUACAGACCACAAUCAAACAAAUCUGGUGAUUUCCAGAAGACUUUUAGUCUGAAUAAGGAAGAUAAAAAAUUGAUCUUCCAUCACAGGCAAUGAAGACAGAAUUAACAGGACUGAAGAAAACUGAACCAUAGAGAAUACAGCUUCUUGAUACCAUUUUGGAAAUAAAAGAUGAAAGGUAGUUUCCCUAUCUCUCCCUAUGAGAAAUACCACUCAUUCAGUUGUGGUCAGCAGAAGAACCUUCUAAUACAAGAGUGUAGGUUCAUAAAGUGAGAGUUGAAGAGUAAACAAAUAAUCCAGAACAAAGCAAAUGCUUUUAACCAUCUUUCUCGCAUGGAAAAAAAAAAAAAAAGUUAAUAAAAGAAAAAGGCAAAUGUUAGUUAGAGCUGGAACUUGUGAUCAGAAAGAACAUACUUGGGAUAAGAAAUUUAUUUCACACAAAAAAGGCCCAGCAGGAAAAACUAUUAAAAUGAGUCCUUACAGCUAUUUAGUGUGUAAUUUAAUAGGUCUCUUUUCUGGCUGAGAACUUUUAGGAUAUCAUAGAAGAUGUACUAAAUCAUACCAGAAGUCAUCAGUUUCUUUCCAGUGAUAACUGGUUAAAUACACUGUGAUUUUCCUCCUCGCUUUAGCUUGCCUUCAAGUGCUCAUGCCUUUUCUUUGGCUUUCUCCUUCUUCUCACCUCACAAGUAUUAAUUUUUUAUCUGCUUUCCUCAUUUAACAUCUUGUCUUGCCAUCAUGAUCCUUUCCUAUUCCAGCUCCUGGUCUCUUUUGCAGACAAGCUUUUCUUGUCUGCCUGUUUCUCCUCCCAACAAAAAUAACCUUGAUUAUAUUCUAUUCUUAAUUCUGCUACUUCUACAGACUUUUUGCUCUCAUUUCUGUUGGAAUAAGAUUCAUUAGGAAGCAGAUAAAUACAAUUUUUAUCAAUAAGGCAAAAUGCCUAAAAUUCACAUACACAUUGCCAAUAUUCACAUACAGGAUAUUGACAGAAAUGUGAGCAGCAUAUUUUUCUCCUUGAAAUCAGUGCAAUGGAAACAAAGCUUUUCCUGUUGAUUUUAAAAAUGUAUUUUUUUCUGAACUCCAUAAAUUAUUUCUAGUUGUUACUUUCCAACAGCUGUGUUAUUUUCCCCUUUUUUUCACUAGGUACCAUUAUUACUUUGGGUUUGUUUUGAUUAGUUUACAUUGCAUUGGUGAGGUUUUCAUGCUGGGUGGAGUUUGUUUUUUUCCAAAUAAUCUACUCAGUUUUUCUUCCUUACCACAUUUUCAUUUCUUUCAAGUAAUUCAUCCUGCACUACCAGUGUUCUCCCUGAACUUACUAGAGCUAUUUCUUGCAGGCUUGAUACUUGAAACAUGGAAGAACUUUAUUUUAGAAUUAUUUUGUAACAUGGUCUCUACUUAGCAAAUGCACCUAACCCAUGAUUUUGGAUACUCCAGGUAUGUUGCACAUGGCUCCUGUAAGCACACUGUCUAGAGCUGGCUUUUUUAAUUACAUCUCAGGCCUCCACCAGUUCAGUUCCUGUCAAUUGAGUUCAACUAAACUGUUUUCAUCAUAGUCUCUAGUGGCUUCUUACCUGCAGUUUACAGUUCUAGCACUGCAGGUUUCCAGUUCUUGGUCUGCUGAUUGUUCUUGGCACAACCACAUAAUUUCUGAAAAUUUCACACUCAUUGGCUUCAGGGUCUCCAUUCUCUCCUGAUUCUCCUCCACCCUCUAUAACAGCUCACAAAGCUCUUUGGAGGUAUCUUCAUUUCACCUCAGCACUGCAAGGAGGAUGGGGUGUUCUAUCAAACCCUGGGUUUGGUUUCCUUCUCUUCUCCUGCCCCUUACCUCUGAAUAAUCACUUCCCUGGUUCACUUAACAGCUUCAUACUCAUCACUUACAGAUCCACAUUUCCACUCUAGCCAUGAAUCAUUUUAGCCAGGCUAACAACUCAGCCUAUCUUUCCCAACAGCUCACUCUGACUAUAUAAUCAUCAGUGGAAGCUUAAUAUGGUUAAUUGCUCUCCCCCAAUAAUUGCUUUUCCUGGCUUUGACAACAUAGUCUUGCACCUCACAAGUGUUUUAGCAAAGACAAACUUGCUACAGUAAGAUAUUUUAUUUCAUCUCAUUUUUUUGAGACACCUCUUAUACUUGCUUUUUUAAAUCAUGUGAGAUUUAACCCAACCAGUUUUCUGUUUGUAGGACACAUCACAGUCUAGACCCUCAUCUAGUGACUGCAUGUUUCCUAUUGAAAUGCUGAGUAGUAGAGGUCCUUUCAAAUAUCUUGUUACACCUGUCACAUUUUGAGAUCUACACCUUUGCUUUUUUCUUUUAUCUUGCUGAUGUGUGCCUUCAUGUUUCCCUGUAAAACGCUCCAUUACAACACAUGUGAGUCCCAAUUAUGCUAACAGGGAAAAAUUAAGUUCCAUCUUCCUUACCAGACUGUGUUCCACUGUUAUGCUUUUGGGUUACUCUUAGAUUAUAAGCUCCAAGAUGAAAGAACCACCUUGACAGCAAAGGGGAUUAUGGUACCUAAAUAAAAAUAAUAUUUUUAUAGAAAUAUAUGCAAAUUAAUUACGUCUUGUCCUUGUAUUAUUGUAUGGUUUUGUAUAGAGUUCCUAAAUACUAUAAUCCUUCUGUAAAUUACACAUUUUCCAAAUAAAAUUUACUUCUAAAGUACUCUAGGCACUUUGCAAAUAACUGUGUAUCAAGUUAUUUAGUUUAAUCUUAUUUACUUGCUAGAGCAGAUGCAUCCCAUAUUUCACCACAGUCAAGUAUAAUGACUCCAUAGAACAUGUAUGCUCAGUCUGGAAACUCUGGGAAUCAAUAAGCAAUUAAUAAAUACAGUACAAAUUAAGAGCUCUGAUGAGCUCCCUAACACUUACACCUGAGCAGAUUUAUUUUAGAAUACCUUUUUUUAUAAAUCAGCAUCCAAUGCAUUGCAGGACAA